rnacentral:rRNA from 1 species
UACACGCUGUGACUAGCAUAUCAAUAAGCGGAGGAAAAGAAACUAACAAGGAUUCCCCUAGUAACGGCGAGUGAAGCGGGAAGAGCUCAAAUUUGAAAUCUUAAAGGGUUUCCCUUUACGAAUUGUAGUUUAAAGAAGUGUUUUCUGUUGAGGUUUUGGUAAAAGUUCUUUGGAAUAGGACAUCAUAGAGGGUGAGAAUCCCGUAUUUGACCUUUACUUUCAACUUUGUGAUACACUUUCAAAGAGUCGGAUUGUUUGGGAAUGCAGUCCAAAAUGGGUGGUAAAUUUCAUCUAAAGCUAAAUAUUGGCGAGAGACCGAUAGCGAACAAGCACCGUGAGGGAAAGAUGAAAAGAACUUUGAAAAGAGAGUUGAACAGUACGUGAAAUUGUCAAAAGGGAAGCGUUUGACACCAGUGUUGUUUUUCUGAAAAUCAAUUAAAGAACUGUUUAUGCUAAGCUGUUUAGACUUUAUCAGCUAAUCUGUUUAGUUUUGAGCUUUUCUUUAAUGCACUUUUCAGUUAACAAGUCAACAUCAAUUUCUUUUGCUGUAAAAAAGCUUGAGGAAGGUGGCUUGAGAUUCGUCUUAAGUGUUUAUAGCCUCUUGCCUAUGCAGUCGGAGAGAUUGAGGUCUGCAGCGUAGAUCCUUCGGGGCUAAAUGCAUUUGUGCUAAGUUAUAGCAUUUCAUAGACAACUUGUUGACUAUGAUUUGUCUUGUAGCUUACUCGCUUAUGUUAUUUUACCUACGCUUAGGAUGUUGACGCGCGUGUGUGCGUG